CUUUGCUUCCUGAGGAAGAUCUUCACUGCCAACUACUUGGUAGUGCACUACUUCUUCCCGGAGGCUAUCCAGGUCCAAUCGCAGCUGCGGCUUGGAACUUACAAGAGUAUUUCUUCAUCUUACUCGUCGUCGCCGCGGCUGUAUCUUCCUCGUUCUUCUGCUUCGUCUCCUUGUUGUGUGCGCAGUUGUGUACUGCACUCUCUAAAAGCCGUAGAUGUUAUUGUCACAUAUGCAUGUACAGUAGAUGGCAGUAUUUUCCUGUUUAAGAGUGUCACAACAUUGCUGUUUACGGCAGACGAACUGCUUUACGGUAGAGGAAAACGUGACUGCUGUUGUUGUGUGUUUUUACCGCACUGGGAGGACGUUAAUGAAACUGCCUAACAAUAAUCCCACAUAAGAAACCAAGAACUCGCCCUCGAUCAUUCUACAUUUAUAACGUCUGUUCUUCUUCAGUUAUGAAGAUUACUAUAUUUGGUGUGUGUUUAUUGCCAAGUUAUUUCAAUUGGUUCUGCUAAGUGAGCUGUACCUUUAAGAAACGCGUAGGUAGGUCACGUGUUUAGACCCCGGAAGCAUUUCAAACUGGUGCGCACAACUCCACUUCACUCGUGUUUCUAAGCAAACAACUAUUACAUCUUAUGCUGUUCGUGGCAUCGUUGCGCCUCCUACAGAGCAGAAAUGUUUCUGAACAAGACAUGCAGCGUGGUGCAUCAUGGUUGGACGUGGACCGGACUAAUGGACCACAUCUGUCCGGAGCAAUUCUGCAUCACCACCUUGAAGAAGGGGUCGGUCCCGGUGCUCACCACCUCCAAGCAGCGACCUGUGCCCGCGUUUCGCACCCUGCCGUUCUGCGGGGCGAAAAACUGUCAGUGACAGAAUGCCUCUCACUUCCCUUUGACCUCCGACAUCACCAAACGCGGCACUUACCGGAGUGUAGAGCCACAAGCUCGUCAGCACCUCUGUCACCUUGUUGCAGGGCAGGAGCCGCGGUAGGAAACUCUGGCGGUCGUCCACUAAGCAGAGAGCGUACCAGUUGUGGAAGCCCAGCGCGCCCAACAUCAGCUGACCCUUGGUGGUGAAACGAACCAGCUGAGGGUACACAACACGACGACAAACGUCAACACAAAGACAACACAAUUGAGUACGCUGCAAGUCUAACAGAGCUUCUGCGGGUAUCGGAAAAUCUAAUUGAAUGCUUUUUUAAUGCAACUUAAAGGCCUACUGAAAUGACAUUUUCUUAUUUAAACGGGAUAGCAGGUGCAUUCUAUGUGUCAUACUUAAUCAUUUUGCGAUAUUGCCAUAUUUUUGCUGAAAGGAUUUAGUAGAGAACAUCCACGAUAAAGUUCGCAACUUUCGGUGCUAAGAGAAAUGCCCUGCCUCUAUCAGAAGUCGCAGACGAUAAAUGAUAAAUGAUAAAUGGGUUGUACUUGUAUAGCGCUUUUCUACCUUCAAGGUACUCAAAGCGCUUUGACACUACUUCCACAUUUACCCAUUCGCACACACAUUCACACACUGAUGGAGGGAGCUGCCAUGCAAGGCGCCAACCAGCACCCAUCAGGAGCAAGGGUGAAGUGUCUUGCUCAGGACACAACGGACGUGACGAGGUUGGUACUAGGUGGGAUUUGAAACCGGGACCCUCGGGUUGCGCACGGCCACUCUCCCACUGCGCCACGCCGUCCCGAUGAGGUCACAUGUUGAUGGCUUCUCACAUAUUCAUUGUUUUUAAUGGGAGCCUCCAACCAAAAGUGCUAUUCGGACCGAGAAAACGACAAUUUCCCCAUUAAUUUGAGCAAGGAUGAAAGAUUCGUGUUUGAGGAUAUUGAUAGCGACUCACUAGAAAAAAAAAAAAAAACACGAUUGCAUUGGGACGGAUUCAAAUGUUUUUAGACACAUUUGCUAAGUUAAUUCUGGGAAAUCCCUUAUCUUUCCUUUGUGUUGCUAGUGUUUUAGUGAGUUAAAUAGUACCUGAUAGUCGGAAGGGUGUGUCUACGGGUGUCUUGACGCGCAGCGUCGACGGCAGCUAUGGACGGCACAAGCUCAGCUUUUCUCCGGUAAGAACUGACUUUUUAACCACAAUUUUCUCACCGAAACCUGCUGGUUGACAUUUGGUCGUGAUCCAUGUUGGCUUGACCGCGCUCUGAUCCAUAGAAAAGUUUCACCUCCAGGAAUUUUAAACAAGGAAUCAACGUGUGUUUGUGUGGCUAAAGGCUAAAGCUUCCCAACUCCAUCUUUCUACUGUGACUUCUCCAAUAUUAAUUGAACAAAUUGCAAAAGAUUCAGCAACACAGAUUUCCAAAAAACUGUAUAAUUAUGCCGUUAAAGCAGACGACAUUUAGCUGUGUGUGUGCUUCAUACUUCCCAAAAACCCGUGACGCCUUGCGUACACGUCAUCAUUACAUGACGUUUCGAAGACGAAACUCCCGGGAAAUUUAAAAUUGUAAUUUAGUAAACUAAAAAUGCCGUAUUGGCAUGUGUUGCAAUGUAAAUAUUUCAUCAUUGAUAUAUAAACUAUCAGACUGCGUGGUGGGUAGUAGUGGGUUUCAGUAGGCCUUUAAAACACUUAUUGCUCAUCCCAGCAGGCACAAAACAUUGAUACAACGUUGAUUAUACGUACGGGUCCUUUUAAAACUGACUCUGAAACAAUGUAGCAAAAUAGUUAUAUUUGUACAUUGAAACAACGUUGAUGCCUAAUGUUGGAUCCACAUUGUUGAUUGGGAAAUAACAAAAUUUCAAUGGUCAAAUCAACGUCAGACCGUGACAUUGACUAAGCGCCGUCAAAAAGCAUGUUGUUUGAAUGUUGUAUUUGUAUUGUAGACAAUUGGUUGGGAAAUGACCACAUUUCAAUGAUCAAGUCAACGUCAGAACCCAACAUUGAUUAAACGUCAAAAAGCAUGUUGUUUCAGCGCUACGUUUGUGUUGUAGAAUAUUAGUAAGAAAAUUACCAAAUUUCAAUGGUCAAGUCACUGUCAGAACCCAACAUUGAUUAAACGUCGUCCAAAAGUAUUUUGUUUCAACAUUAUAUUUGUGUUGUAGAAUAUUGGUUGGGAAAUUACCAAAUUUCAAUGGUCAAAUCAACGUCAGAAACUGAUAUUGAAUAAACAUCAAAAAGCAUGUUAUUUUUAACUUUACGUUUGUGUUGUAGAAUAUUAGUAGGAAAACGAGCAAAAUUUAAUGGUCAACUCAAAGUAACAACCCAAAAUUUAUUAAACGUCCUCAAAAAGUAUGUUGUUUCAACGUUAUGUUUGUGUUGUAGAAUAUUGGUUGGGAAAUGACCCAAUUUCAAUGGUCAAGUCAACGUCAGAACCCGACAUUAAAUAAACGUCAAAAAGCAUCUUGUUUUAAUGUUGUAUUAGUAUUGUAGAAUAUUGGUUGGGAAAUGACCAACAUUUCAAUGGUCAAAUUUGUCAGAACUCAACAUGAUUAAACAUCGUCAAAGAGUAUGUUGUUUCAACAUUAUGUUUGAGUUGUAGGAUAUUGUUUGGGAAAAUUACCAAAUUUGAAUGGUCAAGUCAACGUCAGAACCCAACUUUGACUAAAUGUUGUGAAAAAGAAUGUUGUUUCAACGUUAUGUUUGUGUUGUAGAAUAUUGCUUGGAAAAUGACCAAAAUUUCAAUGGUCUAAUCAACAUUAGAACCCAACAAUAAAUAUACGUCAUCAAAAAGCAUGUUGUUUCAACAUUACGCUAGUGUUGUAGAAUAUUGAUUGGUAAACGGACAAAUUUCAAUGGUUAAAUCAACGUCAGAACCCGACAUUGAAUAAACUACGUUUAUUAUUAUUGUUUCAAUGUUGUAUUUAUGUUGUGGAACAGGGGUCCCCAACCUGUUUUGCACCAUGUACCAGUUUAAUGUACGCAUUAAUUUCCAUGUGUGGCAGAUAAAUUCAGCAAAAAUAAAUGUAUGAAAAAUACAAGUCACUAUAACACUGAAUUAGUGGGAACCUAGGACGUGUUUCUUUGCAAUGAGAUCUCCAGCAGGUUGAUGGCAGUAUAUACCAUCAACCUACUGGGGACUGCAGAUGAAAAUCAGCUUUUGGUUACAGUCUGUCACACUUAUAUGUUCAUUAAUGUACAUUGUAUCAUGUCACAAGGUUAUAACAAAUAUAAUGACAAGCGACUUCCUAUGAGAAGUUAUAUUGUUUAUUUAUAAACAAGCUAAUUGGUGUGUCUAGUGGGAUGGGCGAAAGUUAAGUUUUUUUAAUCAAUUCCUUUAUCACGAAUUGAUUAACGUUGACCCUGACUUUAACAAGUUCCAUCCAUCCAUUUUCUACCGCUUAUUCCCUUUCGGGGUCGCGGGGGGCGCUGGCGCCUAUCUCAGCUACAAUCGGGCGGAAGGCAGGGUACACCCUGGACAAGUUGAAAAACUUAUUUGGGUGUUACCAUUUAGUGGUCAAUCGUACGGAAUAUGUACUGUACUGUGCACUCUACUAAUAAAAGUUUAAAUCAAUCAAGUCGGAGAAAAUGCAUUUAAUGUUUCUGUACGACCCGAUAGAAAAUUCAUCACGAACCAGUACCGGUCCCCUGACUUGUGGUUACAGACCUCUGUUGUAGAAUAUCUGUUGGGAAACGACCAAAAUUCAAUGUCAGAACUCAACAUUGAUUAAACGUAAUCAAAAAGCAUGUUGUUUCAACGUUAUGUUUGAGUUGCUCAACCUCAGGACCUAAUUCAACAAGUUCUCAACGUUGUUUCAAUGUCUUGUGCCUGCUGGGAUGUUACUGCAGAUGGUUAGGGUAUAUCAUCGAGAGCAUACAACUGUCUGUAUAGACAAAAAGGAAAGCAAUUGACAAAGGUAAUGUUUAACAGCUGACAAGUUGACAUUAACUGUGGCCAAAUGAAGCACCAAUGUAAUCAUAACAUAAUAAUGCCAAAAACAUAUUUUUCCUACUGUAUUAUUUGUAACUAUUGUACCGUAUGUUUGGAGUAUAAGUCGCACCUGCCAAAAAUGCUUAAUAAAGAAGGAAAAAAACAUAUAUAAGUCGCACUGGAGUAUAAGUAAACUUUUUGGGGGAAAUAUAUUUGAUAAAACCCAACACCAAGAAUAGACAUUUGAAAGGCAAUUUCAAAUAAAUAAAGAAGAGUGAACAACAGGCUGAAUAAGUGUACGUUAUAUGACGCAUAAAUAACCAACUGAGAAGGUGCCUGGUAUGUUAACGUAACAUAUUAUGGUAAGAGUCAUUCAAAUAACUAUAACAUAUAGAACAUGCUAUACGUUUACCAAACAAUGUGUCACUCCUAAUCGAUAAAUCCCAUGAAGUCUUAUACGUCUAGUCUCUUACGUGAAUGAGCUAAAUAAUAUUAUUUGAUAUUUUACGGUAAUGUGUUAAUAAUUUCACACAUAAGUCGCUCCUGAGUAUAAGUCGCACCCCUGGCCAAACUAUGAAAAAAACUGCGACUUAUAGUCCGAAAAAUACGGUAAAUAGAAGGUCAAUGACUCAAUUAUUCUAAAUAGGCUCUCAAUAUUUGUUGGCAAAAAAUGCACUUCAAUAAAUGUCUUGAAGUGCAUUUUUCUUCAAAUAAAAAAUUGUUGUGUGGUUUGUUUUGUUGUCUUUGCCAUUGGAUAUUUUACGUAAUGCUUUUCAAUCCUAUGCAAGGCCUUGAUUUUCGCAAAAUCCACGUAAUGAUUUUUUUUCAUGCUUUUUUUUAAUGCUUUCUAGUGACCCACGGAGAACCUGCUAGCAGCUUUUUGUGUGCAAACUCAAAAGUCCAAUUUCCUUCUUUUUAGCUUUUACACACCAAGUUAACGUCACGCUGUCAACAAAAGUGACGGAUUGUUUAGGACGCGGGUGUCAAAAGUGCGGCCCCGACGGCUAUUUUUCUUUUUUAUUCUAAAAAUACAAAUAAGCAAGAAUGGGGGCAAUAAACAACAGUAAUCUGACAAGAAGAAAGUGCAAAUAUGUGAUCAAAGGUCAUGAUCCUGUCCUGCCACACCUGUCUUUCUGCUGCCUCCCUUCUUCGUGUUAUAGUGCCUGUGUUUGGAGCUCCUGGGGCGCAGGGACCAUCGCACACCUGUAAUCAGUCUACCAUUAGGCCAAGAAAUAGCUCCAACAGCUUCAUUUUCUCGUCUGGUUGAUUACAGUGGUACGUUGGUUUUAGUCUCCCGUUCCAAAUGGUCCCAUGACAACCAAAUUGUAGGAAAAACAAAGGCAUUUUUUCCCGUAAGAAAUAAUGCAAAAUGAAAUGAAUGAAUGAACGUUUCAUGUCGCUUUUACUUUUUCUUGAAGGAAACACCCACGCGGACGCCACUGUCCAGUGUUUCUCACCUUUAGUAUCAAAGUGCUGGCAAACGCAACUUUCCUUGGUCCCACGUUAGAUUAUUGUGCAGUCAUACUUAAAAAAAAAAUCAGGGAAUCUUUUGUGUCGUUUCCUUUUUGCAAUCUAUUGAUGAUACGCCGGAAAUAAAAAUGUUAUUUUACGUGCGAUGUGUGAAAGUACAAAAAGUAAAAAGGCCAUCUGCAAUUUUGGAUUUGUAAUUUAUAAUCGGAUUUGUUAGAUUUUAAAGUCGACUGAUCGGUUAACGCUGUUGUUGUUUCACGAAGAUCACAGCUCAUGGUGAGUCCCACAAAUAAGCAGAUAUUAUUUAUGGUUUCUUUUCUACUUCAAAUAAAAAGGCGAAAACUGCCAGAGAAACAAACAUGGUAAAGUUUUGCCUCGCUGUGGUCGACUUCAGCUCUGAAGACGAUCAAACUUGACAAUCUAGAACAGGAGUGAAAUUACUGCUAAAACUACACAAACACACAAAAAUGUUUUACUCCCUAAUAUUUUUCCCCCCCAAUUUUUUUUUUUGUUGCAAAUACAAACAUUUUUUUCUGCAAGUGAAAAAAACCAUUCAAAAGUAUAAAAAACGAUUUUAUUCAAUUAAAAACGAUUUGCAAGUUCAAUAACAAUGUUCUUCCCAGUAAAAAGUAUAAAAGAGUAUAAAAACAAUUUUCUUCAAUAAAAAAAAUAUUCACAUGGAUAAAAACAAUUUUCUUCAAUUAAAGAAACGGAUGUGUGAAAGUACAAAAAGUAAAAAGGCUAUCUGCAAUUUUGGAUUUGUAAUUUAUAAUCGGAUUUGUUAGAUUUUAAAGUCGACUGAUCGGUUAACGCUGUUGUUGUUUUCCGAAGAUCACAGCUCAUGGUGAGUCCCACAAAUAAGCAGAUAUUAUUUAUGGUUUUCUUUUCUACCUCAAAUAAAAAGGUAAAAACACCCAGAGAAGCAAACAUGGUAGAGGUUGGCCUCGCUGUGGUCGACUUUAGCUCUGAAGACGAUCAAACUUGACAAUCCAGAACAGGAGUGAAAUUACUGCUAAAACUACACAAACACACAAAAAUGUUUUUACUCCCUAAUAUUUUUCCCCCCCAUUUUUAUUUUUUUGCAAAUACAAAUUUUUUU